GCACCACUAUAACGACAAAGAGGUGGCCCUGAAAACCUGAAACAGAUUUUGAAUGUGCCCUCUGUCAUCUACCCCUUAUUCAGCCUUUUAGUGGACCGGAAUGUCUCACACAGAAAAUUGCACCAGUCCGUGCACCCGUCCACGGUCUCAUAUUCCUGUGUUCAUCUGUCCCUGAAGCUGGGCACUGGGUUUAUAUGCUUCGAGUGUAGAGAUUGGAGUUCAAGUCAGGCAUCCAUUAAUGAAAAGGAGACUGAUCAAAAAUAUAUUUGAAUCCAAAGCCAACUCCAUCCAUGCAUUUUGGUAAAUAUAGAACGGAUAAACCGUGGUGUUGCUUGCAUGGAUGGCCUGGGCAGGAGUGGACAGUUGACGAUUGGAAACCAUAAGUCUAAGACAACCUCCACGGUGUGGCCAAUGAUGUCACAUCAUCCCCAUAAAUGAAAGACCUCCAAACCAUCCCAUCACUGACAGACUUUCCCAUAUCUUGCAAACCUGAGGUCGUGCCCUUUUUUUCCCCUAAAACAAGCACUCUCAUCUUGGCGUUCCCACUUUCGAGAUGUCUUCAGCCUUUCCAGGGACUGUUUUUGGGUGGGCCACCAUUGGAGCAACCUGUCAAAACAAUGCUCACCCUUGUCAGCAAGUCCAUCUAUGGUGCGGUCAAGAUCCUCUUCACUGGCAUCGGUGGAUGAUGACGUGUUCUGCGCUAUAAACGUGAAAUCAAUAAAGGUGUUACGAUUUCAUAGACAGGGAAAUGUGAAAAGGAAGAAAAAUCAUAGCUCUGAACUAGAAUAAUCAACGCUCCAUCACUCACGUGCUGCCAUGGGAUUUGGAGAAGAGCACCACAGCGGUGCAGCAUCUAUCGUCUGCAUGUCGUGCGAGAAGAGUUCCUCCGAUCCCUCCAUCACUUCCCUGGGGGCGCUUAUCUGCGGGGGUCCUUGGGCAAAAGAAAUGCUUCGCGCUAUCCGUUUAGGUUUUACACUUGCGUCCCCUCUUAGAAUACUGUCCAGCUCACGAAAAAAAGGACAUGUAAUGGGGCCGUUUCCAGAGGUGGAAUUGUGUGCUAUGACGCGCUUGUACUCCAACCGCAUACUUUUUGUUUUGUUCCUGCAUUCCAAUGCAGUGCGCCGAUGACCACGUGAGGACAUCAUUUUGGAAAUUUUUUCAAAGUUGUCUAAGUUCCUGUGGGAGCUUCUAAGGGCGUCCUGUAUCUUGUCCUCCCCCCAGAAAGAAAGGAGGUCCAAUACCUCUUUUUCCCUCCAUGUCGCUGAUCGUGGAGCCGCAGGAGCAGUGGCCGACAUUUUCAAAAAACAAUUGUUUAUGAUGGUGUCCGCAGAUCAGAGUGUCGGUUGCUCUUCUCUCCCCACGUCUGCAAGAAAGCAAAUGGAGGGCAGUCCACUGCACUGUGAUCCGUCGACCAAGCACUGUUCUCCCGCCGGAAAUCCAAGCCGUUAAUUGCGCAUGCGCUGCAGCCACCACCCGUUCCUUUGCCUAAUUAAUUUUAAUGUGACAAAAUAACGCUAUGACGAAUUUUCGAUGAAGCAUUGGCGCGCCAGGAAAAUGUAUCGUGAAAAGAACUGUAAUGCGAUGUGAAAAUUGAACCAAUUUGUUGAUAAGAAAUCAACCCCUGUUCUUGUUAAAAAUGCUUUCUCGUGCUUCACUGGACCUCAAGUAGCAGAAAUAAAAAUUAUUGGCCUGAAAGGGCCUUCCCAUGAGUGUGGGAGAACAUAGUGUUCAUUCAACAGCAUUUGGCGCCGAAAUCAAAUCCUUAACACCGAUUGGUCAUCCUGUUUAAGCGCGUCCAAUCAGCAGCCUUUUUUUCCGCGCCUUUAUGGAGCCGUUAUGAAGGCAUGCUUAUUUAUGCAACAGCACAUUUUCGGUAUUUCGUUUAGGAACAAGUAUGGCAGCAGCGGCAAAAGGAGUCUUCUGGCGGGAUGAAGAGGUGGAGACCCUGCUGGACCUCGUUGCACGCUCCGGAAAAGCGGCGCGUGUAAUGAGGAGCACACAUCUGCCCACGAAGCUUAUAUUUCACAAGCUGUCGAGGCAGAUGUGUGCCCGUGGUCACAGCAGGACCCCCGAACAGUGCAGAUCGAAGUUCAAGAGGGUGAAGGGGGACUUCUACGGGGCGCUGGAAGCCUGGCAGGGGAUCCCUCGCCAGAGUGGAAAGCCCCCGUACUUUGCGUCCAUGAUGAACCUCUGGGAUCUCGCCGGAAGGCCAAGCUGGCAAUCCCGUCAUCAUGCUGGUAAGAACCUCUUAAAAGCAUUUAAUUUUAAAUUAACAACGCAGUUAAGUGCACGUCAAUGUGGAGAAACCAGGCAAAAAGUUAGAUGGUGGGGGGAGAGCUGAGAUUCCAUUCCCCCCCCCCCCGUAAUCGUCGCACAACGCCGUUUUAUUGCAAUAGCGGAUUUUUUUUCUCCUACAAAGAAACCUUUUUUUUUAUGCUCGGCGUGAGGGACCCCAAGUUUGGGAAUGUGGCAUGUGUCGAGCCGCUGUGUUCAUCACGGUGCACAGUUGCUGGUGUUAUCUUUGUUGCACCUUUUUGUCAUGAAUGUUCCGAUUGCAAUGGUUUGAUGGAGUGUGCCAACAUUUCUUCUUCACUUUGCAGCCCUUCUCCGUGGUAGAGCUCCCACCGCUGCCGUGGGGGAGGCAAGAGCAGACGAGGAGCAGGAGGCGCUUGAGGUGGCUGGGGAGCAAGCUUCCUCUGAGGACCCUGCACAGGGAUCAGAACAGGCACCCCCUGCUAGUGCACAGGAAAGCCAACUGGAACGGUCGGAGGAGGGUCCCUCAACCAGCAGAAGGUCUGCUCCCCCUGGAAGAGCCCAACGCAGAGGGAUAGGAGAUCUGUUCACGGCCAUGGAGAGGAUGGAGGAGAGGCUAGGAUCAUCCAUCUCAAAUGUGCAAGAGAGGUUGAGCAGCGUGGAGGACCGACUAGCACGCCUAGGGCGGCGAGUAAAUGUGAUGGAGCGCCGUGAGAGAAGGAGACAUCGUCCCUCUGCCUCUGGGGAUGCACCCUGAUUGUUCUCACCACUGUAUAUAGUUACCCAAGUUUUCUUCCCCUUCCCCCACAGUUUAUUGUUGAGCUGUUCAUUUAAAAAAAAAAAUUUUUUUGUGGUUCUCUUUUGCUGAAUUUUUUCCUUAAAUUAAAAAAAUAUUUUCCAUGAUGUCACAGUGAUAUUUUCUCUGUACGUGGUCCAUGUCUAUGCAUCCAUAAGAUAGGUGUAAUGGCUGUCUGGACUGUCCACUAGAUUUCCCAAAUUACAAUCAAUGCCCACCCCUUGUUGGUACAAUGUCCCACAUCAUCAUAGGUUUUCUCUGCACCCCCUUUUUUCUAAUUUCCCGCAUCCCCGGCAAACACGUGAAGUGUUUGUAUUUAUCGUGACCUCGAACUUCAUUAGCCUUACCUGCCAAAGUUUAGUCUCAUGUGUCAAAUUCUGAUUGCCACAGUUGACUUGACACAAUUGUAGGUUUUUUGGGACAUGUUAUAUAAGUGGCAAAUGGUGGAUUACACUGUUCCACAAGCACCUCACAAGCAUCCCCCCUGUCAUCAUGUCACCAGACUCAGUUUUCCAGACGAGGGAAGCACUGACAAUUUAAGGAUCAUCACCCCAAUGGCAUCAUUGGGCUCUAAAUUGCUGAUGUUGAGAAAUAAUGUGAUAUGACCUGUAGUUUAAAUGGCCCAAGAAACUGGUUGUUCCGCCACAGCACAUGGAGACAUCAAGCUGAAAUUUGUUGGCACAGCGUAAUACAAAAACACCAAUUCUGAUUCGUCUGGAAUGUGCCGCUCCUGGUGUUACCCGUUCUUCCCUCUCAAAAGCACAGUCCAUUAAUGUGGGAGAUGAAAUCAAUGGGUGAAACUGGCAUUGAAUGCAUGAUUUUCUGAAUGGAGUGCUGAAUCAAUCAGUCCCCAGUGUCUUAGAUUGGGUGUGAUGGAAAUGAACUACACGUGACGCCAAUUAACAGAAUUUACAGGCGGGCCCCUAUCUGUGCUGGAUAUCCAGAUGUGUUUUUUCUUCUACUGGCGUGGAACAAAAGGAGCUGUUUAAAAGUGGAGGAUGCCGAAGGACACUUUGAAUAUGAUGUCCAGAAUGAUUCUGCUGAUAUCCUAGGUUUCCCAUUCAUCACUCCAAUCGGGGGGCCAAACGUCGUAGUCUCCAGCCUGGUUGGCACACAGGUUUGAGACAGGUGCCAAACACGAAGAACCACAAAGAACCCACAGAACGCCACAUCACAACUUUAAAUUUAGCAUUCUGUCUGUAUUCACUGUAUCUUCAGAAUGCUUUCUCCAUUGUGUCCCCAGGCAUAACACCAAAUUUUACAGCAAAACAGGAAUGGAAAUACAGAUAAGAUUUCAAGGGAAUCUAUUUUAAGUUCAUGGAUGUCAAUGUGGAACUAAAAAAUUGGGUCACCAGAAAUAAGAAGCGUUUCUUUAAGAGCAACAGAAAGGUGUUCGAUGUUCAAAAUGUUUUCUGCAUGUUUUUGGACAGCAUUUCCCCUGUUAAUCCAAGAUUGACAAACUUUCUUUAUCUACUAAUAUUUUUGCAAGGAACACAAUUGAUUCCUAUUCUGUCUGUGCGGCACGUAAAUCUUCCCUCGAUUCUCUGAUCCUUUUUUUUCUAAUUUUUUUUUUUAAUGAAUCUUUGGAAUAGCGAUAUUUUGUUAUGUGGGAAUAAAAAAAGUAUUGCGCCCAGAAAAGGCACCCUAGCCAAGUGUCCCCGUGGUGCUCAACCUUCGGUCGUGACAAGCGCCAGCCACGAGACACACCCUGACCAAACGAUUUAAUAACAUUCCAACAAAAUAAUUCCGGGUUGGACAUUCAAAGCUUUUUAUUUUGAUCUAUCGUCACUGCGUCACGAUGUCUUAAGUUUUAAAAAAGCCAAAAAAAUUAAAAGAGACAUUUCUCAAGGAACAAGAAACACAACAGAUUUUAAAAACUUGUUUGUGGUAUCAUUCAAGAGCACUGUAUACAUGGGCCGAGGCAGGAGGCGUUAGGACGGCGGUUAAAUGUGAUCUUUGUUGCGCUGGAACACACUACGAAAUUUCGC